rnacentral:rRNA from 1 species
GCAUAUCAAUAAGCGGAGGAAAAGAAACCAACCGGGAUUGCCUCAGUAACGGCGAGUGAAGCGGCAAGAGCUCAAAUUUGAAAGCUGGCUCCUUCGGGGUCCGCAUUGUAAUUUGCAGAGGAUGCUUCGGGUGCGGCCCCUGUCUAAGUGCCCUGGAACGGGCCGUCAGAGAGGGUGAGAAUCCCGUCUGGGAUGGGGUGUCCGCGCCCGUGUGAAGCUCCUUCGACGAGUCGAGUUGUUUGGGAAUGCAGCUCUAAAUGGGUGGUAAAUUUCAUCUAAAGCUAAAUACUGGCCGGAGACCGAUAGCGCACAAGUAGAGUGAUCGAAAGAUGAAAAGCACUUUGAAAAGAGAGUUAAAAAGCACGUGAAAUUGUUGAAAGGGAAGCGCUUGCGACCAGACUCGCCUCCAGGGUUCAGCCGGCAUUCGUGCCGGUGUACUUCCCUGGGGGCGGGCCAGCGUCGGUUUGGGCGGCCGGUCAAAGGCUCCCGGAAUGUAGUGCCCUCCGGGGCACCUUAUAGCCGGGAGUGCAAUGCGGCCAGCCUGGACCGAGGAACGCGCUUCGGCACGGACGCUGGCAUAAUGGUCGUAAACGACCCGUCUUGAAACACGGACCAAGGAGUCUAACAUCUACGCGAGUGUUCGGGUGUCAAACCCGUACGCGCAGUGAAAGCGAACGGAGGUGGGAGCCCCCUCGUGGGGCGCACCAUCGACCGAUCCUGAAGUCUUCGGAUGGAUUUGAGUAAGAGCGUAAAUGUGGGGACCCGAAAGAUGGUGAACUAUGCCUGAAUAGGGCGAAGCCAGAGGAAACUCUGGUGGAGGCUCGCAGCGGUUCUGACGUGCAAAUCGAUCGUCAAAUUUGGGUAUAGGGGCGAAAGACUAAUCGAACCAUCUAGUAGCUGGUUCCUGCCGA